GAGUCGGACCUGCCCAGUGAAUUAAUUUUUUAACGGCCGCGGUACUCUGACCGUGCAAAGGUAGCAUAAUCAUUUGCCCUAUAAUUGAGGGCUAGUAUGAAUGGUUUGACGUGAGCAAGACUGUCUCUGCGUAAAUUUAUAGAACUUGAUUUUUAGGUGAAGAAACCUAAAUUUUAUUGAUAGACAAGAAGACCCUAUUGAGCUUUAAAAAAGUAGGUAGAAAAUAAUAUAUAGAUUUAAAUAUUAAUCUAUUUUAAAUUUUGGUUGGGGCGACUAAGGAACAAACAAAGCUUCUUUAAUACCUUUAUACUCACAAGUUUUGAUCCAGAAGUUCUGAUUAAUGGAAAUAGUUACCAUAGGGAUAACAGCAUAAUUUUCUUUGAGAGUCCUCAUCGAAAAGAAAGUUUGUGACCUCGAUGUUGGACUAGAAUAUCCUGAAGAUGCAGCAGUCUUUAAGGGUUGGUC
rnacentral:rRNA from 1 species